rnacentral:rRNA from 1 species
ACGGAGGGUGCAAGCGUUGUUCGGAUUUACUGGGCGUAAAGCGUACGUAGGCGGUUUGGUAAGUCAGAGGUGAAAGCCCAGGGCCCAACCCUAGAACUGCCUUUGAGACUGCCUCGCUUGAAUACAGGAGAGGAGAGUGGAAUUUGGAGUGUAGAGGUGAAAUUCGUAGAUAUUCGGAAGAACACCAGUGGCGAAGGCGGCUCACUGGACUGGUAUUGACGCUGAGGUGCGAAAGCGUGGGGAGCAAACAG